rnacentral:rRNA from 1 species
CCUACGGGUGGCAGCAGUGAGGAAUAUUGGUCAAUGGGCGAGAGCCUGAACCAGCCAAGUCGCGUGAAGGAUGACGGCCCUACGGGUUGUAAACUUCUUUUGUCAGGGAGCAAUUGGGUCCACGCGUGGGCUUAGCGAGAGUACCUGAAGAAAAAGCAUCGGCUAACUCCGUGCCAGCAGCCGCGGUAAUACGGAGGAUGCGAGCGUUAUCCGGAUUUAUUGGGUUUAAAGGGUGCGUAGGCGGAUUGAUAAGUUAGAGGUGAAAUGUCCGAGCUUAACUCGGGAACUGCCUCUAAUACUGUUGAUCUAGAGAGUAGAUGCGGUAGGCGGAAUGUAUGGUGUAGCGGUGAAAUGCUUAGAGAUCAUACAGAACACCGAUUGCGAAGGCAGCUUACCAAUCUAUAUCUGACGUUGAGGCACGAAAGCGUGGGGAGCAAACAGGAUUAGAUACCCGAGUAGUC